rnacentral:sRNA from 16 species
UUGAAGGUUGGGCCUCCUCUCCUCCUCCCUGGGGGUCGGACCGGAGUUCUGCGCUGCACCUCCUCCCGCAGCGUGGACGCAAGAAAUCAGGCGUCAUCUCACCUCCCGAGAUGGCGCCUUUUU